ACUAAGCGUACACGGUGGAUGCCCUGGCAGUCAGAGGCGAUGAAGGACGUGCUAAUCUGCGAAAAGCGUCGGUAAGGUGAUAUGAACCGUUAUAACCGGCGAUGUCCGAAUGGGGAAACCCAGUGCAAUUCGUUGCACUAUCGUUAACUGAAUACAUAGGUUAACGAGGCGAACCGGGGGAACUGAAACAUCUAAGUACCCCGAGGAAAAGAAAUCAACCGAGAUUCCCCCAGUAGCGGCGAGCGAACGGGGAGCAGCCCAGAGUCUGAAUCAGCUUGUGUGUUAGUGGAACGGUCUGGAAAGUCCGACGGUACAGGGUGAUAGUCCCGUACACCAAAAUGCACAGGCUGUGAACUCGAAGAGUAGGGCGGGACACGUGGUAUCCUGUCUGAAUAUGGGGGGACCAUCCUCCAAGGCUAAAUACUCCUGACUGACCGAUAGUGAACCAGUACCGUGAGGGAAAGGCGAAAAGAACCCCGGCGAGGGGAGUGAAAAAGAACCUGAAACCGUGUACGUACAAGCAGUGGGAGCACCUUCGGGUGUGACUGCGUACCUUUUGUAUAAUGGGUCAGCGACUUAUAUUCUGUAGCAAGGUUAACCGUAUAGGGGAGCCGCAGGGAAACCGAGUCUUAACUGGGCGUUAAGUUGCAGGGUAUAGACCCGAAACCCGGUGAUCUAGCCAUGGGCAGGUUGAAGGUUGGGUAACACUAACUGGAGGACCGAACCGACUAAUGUUGAAAAAUUAGCGGAUGACUUGUGGCUGGGGGUGAAAGGCCAAUCAAACCGGGAGAUAGCUGGUUCUCCCCGAAAGCUAUUUAGGUAGCGCCUCGUGAACUCAUCUUCGGGGGUAGAGCACUGUUUCGGCUAGGGGGUCAUCCCGACUUACCAACCCGAUGCAAACUACGAAUACCGAAGAAUGUUAUCACGGGAGACACACGGCGGGUGCUAACGUCCGUCGUGAAGAGGGAAACAACCCAGACCGCCAGCUAAGGUCCCAAAGUCAUGGUUAAGUGGGAAACGAUGUGGGAAGGCACAGACAGCCAGGAUGUUGGCUUAGAAGCAGCCAUCAUUUAAAGAAAGCGUAAUAGCUCACUGGUCGAGUCGGCCUGCGCGGAAGAUGUAACGGGGCUAAACCAUGCACCGAAGCUGCGGCAGCGACACUAUGUGUUGUUGGGUAGGGGAGCGUUCUGUAAGCCUGCGAAGGUGGCCUGUGAGGGUUGCUGGAGGUAUCAGAAGUGCGAAUGCUGACAUAAGUAACGAUAAAGCGGGUGAAAAGCCCGCUCGCCGGAAGACCAAGGGUUCCUGUCCAACGUUAAUCGGGGCAGGGUGAGUCGACCCCUAAGGCGAGGCCGAAAGGCGUAGUCGAUGGGAAACAGGUUAAUAUUCCUGUACUUGGUGUUACUGCGAAGGGGGGACGGAGAAGGCUAUGUUAGCCGGGCGACGGUUGUCCCGGUUUAAGCAUGUAGGCUGAUUAUCCAGGCAAAUCCGGAUAAUCAAGGCUGAGGUGUGAUGACGAGGCACUACGGUGCUGAAGUAACAAAUGCCCUGCUUCCAGGAAAAGCCUCUAAGCAUCAGGUAACAUCAAAUCGUACCCCAAACCGACACAGGUGGUCAGGUAGAGAAUACCAAGGCGCUUGAGAGAACUCGGGUGAAGGAACUAGGCAAAAUGGUGCCGUAACUUCGGGAGAAGGCACGCUGGUGUGUAGGUGAAGUCCCUGCGGAUGGAGCUGAGACCAGUCGAAGAUACCAGCUGGCUGCAACUGUUUAUUAAAAACACAGCACUGUGCAAACACGAAAGUGGACGUAUACGGUGUGACGCCUGCCCGGUGCCGGAAGGUUAAUUGAUGGGGUUAUCCGUAAGGAGAAGCUCUUGAUCGAAGCCCCGGUAAACGGCGGCCGUAACUAUAACGGUCCUAAGGUAGCGAAAUUCCUUGUCGGGUAAGUUCCGACCUGCACGAAUGGCGUAAUGAUGGCCAGGCUGUCUCCACCCGAGACUCAGUGAAAUUGAACUCGCUGUGAAGAUGCAGUGUACCCGCGGCAAGACGGAAAGACCCCGUGAACCUUUACUAUAGCUUGACACUGAACAUUGAGCCUUGAUGUGUAGGAUAGGUGGGAGGCUUUGAAGCGUGGACGCCAGUCUGCGUGGAGCCAACCUUGAAAUACCACCCUUUAAUGUUUGAUGUUCUAACGUUGGCCCCGCGGGGUUGCGGACAGUGUCUGGUGGGUAGUUUGACUGGGGCGGUCUCCUCCCAAAGCGUAACGGAGGAGCACGAAGGUUAGCUAAUCCUGGUCGGACAUCAGGAGGUUAGUGCAAUGGCAUAAGCUAGCUUGACUGCGAGCGUGACGGCGCGAGCAGGUGCGAAAGCAGGUCAUAGUGAUCCGGUGGUUCUGAAUGGAAGGGCCAUCGCUCAACGGAUAAAAGGUACUCCGGGGAUAACAGGCUGAUACCGCCCAAGAGUUCAUAUCGACGGCGGUGUUUGGCACCUCGAUGUCGGCUCAUCACAUCCUGGGGCUGAAGUAGGUCCCAAGGGUAUGGCUGUUCGCCAUUUAAAGUGGUACGCGAGCUGGGUUUAGAACGUCGUGAGACAGUUCGGUCCCUAUCUGCCGUGGGCGCUGGAGAAUUGAGGGGGGCUGCUCCUAGUACGAGAGGACCGGAGUGGACGCAUCACUGGUGUUCGGGUUGUCAUGCCAAUGGCACUGCCCGGUAGCUAAAUGCGGAAGAGAUAAGUGCUGAAAGCAUCUAAGCACGAAACUUGCCCCGAGAUGAGUUCUCCCUGAGACUCCUGGCGGCACUAGCGCGGUGGUCCCACCUGACCCCAUGCCGAACUCAGAAGUGAAACGCCGUAGCGCCGAUGGUAGUGUGGGGUCUCCCCAUGUGAGAGUAGGGAA
rnacentral:rRNA from 1 species